rnacentral:lncRNA from 10 species
AGGGAGGGGGGAUUCUCUGAUAGAAAAGUGGAAAGCCACUGUAAAGCAAACAUAAAAAACGCUUUUAAAUGUACAAAUAAUGCUCAACUUUAUUUAUUGAAUUAGUUAGGGCUAAGCUAGGCUAUGCUGCCAUAAUAACAAAACACAACUAAUGCAGUCGUUUGACACAAUAAAAUCUUACCACUCAUGCUGUCUGAUGCGGUUGAGCAGCUUUCACCCAUCUUGUAUUAAUAGCUAUGCUAUCUGGAUCACUGGCUUCCACAGUUGUGGGAAGUGUGGAGGAGGCAUACCAACUGUUGUUUUUCUUGGAGGGAAGUAAUAUGACCCCAACCUAAAUGCAUGAGAGGCCAGGAAAACAAUGUAGUUUAGUUGUGUUUUCAGGGGGAGAAAAAGCUAUGGUAUGCACACAUUUUUCUUUUUGUAAUA